ensembl:lncRNA
AAUACAACCUCUGUUGUUGAUUGGCAAGCUGGACGUUCUAAUGCAACAUGGAACCAAAAUUUUCACUUCGCUACGCCUGUUCAAGCUUUGGAGCUACUGUCCAGAAAAAGUGCAAACGGAAAUGUUGACGGAGGAAAUUCUAGUAGUUUCAGUUAUACUUCAGAAGUCCAAACUGCUCAACAGGAUUCUAGUUUUGUUCAGUCUUCUGGUGGUGCUGCUCAAGGUAAACCUGUACUAAAUGCUCAAGGUCAAGCAACUCCCAUGGUUCAACCGCAGGACAACUUGAUGACUCAGUCCUCAAGGCUCUAUUGGUUUGAAUCUCUCAAGCCUGAAAACUGUGGCACUUUGCUCUCUCAAUCUUGGCCUCAAAAAGGUCAGAAUAACGGUGGAUUCCAAAGACCAUCCAGGUUCCAGUUUGGAGGCACUGCAAACCAGACAUCUGGAUCCCAGACCCAGUCGUCAUACCAGCCUAGCACCACAACACAGGUUCAGACAGGCCAGUCUGCGUCUACAUCUCAGGCUCAGUCCUCUGGUGCGUCAACGUUGUAUCAAGGGAUUAGCUCUGGCAGGUAUCUGACUUCACUGGGUCAUAUAAUUCCAUCCUCCUCCCAGUCUGUGGUCACUACAAACCAGACAUCUGGAUCCCAGACCCAGUCAUCAUACCAGCCUAGCACUACAACGCUCCUUCAGACAGGCCAGCCUGUUCUUCCUCAGAGUCAGCCUUCGGGAGCUUCUGCUUCAUAUCCAAGUCAAACCUCUGGCGUGUACAAUAUUGCACAGCGUCCAUUGACUGCAACCCUUUCCGAAAUACCUGGGUUCCACAUCCAGUCAUCAUACCAGCCUGGCACUACAACACUGCUUCAGACAGGCCAGUCUGCGUCUACAUCUCAGGCUCAGUCCUCUGGUGCAUCAACGUUGUAUCAAGGGAUUAGCUCUGGCAGGUAUCUGACUUCACUGGGUCAUAUAAUUCCAUCCUCCUCCCAGUCUGUGGUCACUACAAACCAGACAUCUGGAUCCCAGACCCAGUCAUCAUACCAGCCUGGCACUACAACACUGCUUCAGACAGGCCAGUCUGCUUCUACAUCUCAGGCUCUUGGCAGCCAUGGAGCUGCACCUUCAGGACAUGCUAAAUGGUACACCAUUGUACAAGGUCAGACAAUUCCAUCUUCUCAAGCCUCUGGAUCCCAGACCCAGUCAUCAUACCAGCCUGGCACCACAACACAGGUUCAGACAGGCCAGUCUGCUUCUACAUCUCGGGCUCAGUCCUCUGGUGCAUCAACAUUGUAUCCAGGGAUUAGGAGGAAUGUGACUUCUCUGGGUCAUGGCUUUCCAUACUCAACCCAGUCUGUGGUGACCGCAAACCAGACAUCUGGAUCCCAGACCCAGUCAUCAUACCAGCCUAGCACUACAACACUGCUUCAGACAGGCCAGCCUGUUCUUCCUCAGAGUCAGCCUUCGGGAGCUUCUGCUCCAUAUCCAAGUCAAACCUCUGGCGUGUACAAUAUUGCACAGCGUCCAUUGACUGCAACCCUUUCCGAAAUACCUGGGUUCCACAUCCAGUCAUCAUACCAGCCUGGCACUACAACACUGCUUCAGACAGGCCAGUCUGCGUCUACAUCUCAGGCUCAGUCCUCUGGAGCAUCAACGUUGUAUCAAGGGAUUAGCUCUGGCAGGUAUCUGACGUCACUGGGUCAUAUAAUUCCUUCCUCCUCCCAGUCUGUGGUCACUACAAACCAGACAUCUGGAUCCCAGACCCAGUCAUCAUACCAGCCUGGCACCACAACACUGCUUCAGACAGCCCAGUCUGCUCCUACAUCUCAGGCUCAGUCCUCUGGUGCAUCAACAUUGUAUCAAGGAAUUAGGAGGAAUGUGACUUCUCUGGGUCAUGGCUUUCCAUACUCAACCCAGUCUGUGGUGACUGCAAACCAGACAUCUGGAGCCCAGACCCAGUCAUCAUACCAGCCUGGCACCACAACACUGCUUCAGACAGGCCAGUCUGCUUCUACAUCUCAGGCUCUUGGCAGCCAUGGAGCUGCACCUUCAGGACAUGCUAAAUGGUACACCAUUGUACAAGGUCAGACAAUUCCAUCUUCUCAAGCCUCUGGAUCCCAGACCCAGUCAUCAUACCAGCCUAGCACUACAACACUGCUUCAGACAGGCCAGCCUGUUCUUCCUCAGAGUCAGCCUUCGGGAGCUUCUGCUCCAUAUCCAAGUCAAACCUCUGGCGUGUACAAUAUUGCACAGCGUCCAUUGACUGCAACCCUUUCCGAAAUACCUGGGUUCCACAUCCAGUCAUCAUACCAGCCUGGCACUACAACACUGCUUCAGACAGGCCAGUCUGCGUCUACAUCUCAGGCUCAGUCCUCUGGCGCAUCAACAUUGUAUCAAGGAAUUAGGAGGAAUGUGACUUCUCUGGGUCAUGGCUUUCCAUACUCAACCCAGUCUGUGGUGACUGCAAACCAGACAUCUGGAUCCCAGACCCAGUCAUCAUACCAGCCUGGCACCACAACACUGCUUCAGACAGGCCAGUCUGCUUCUACAUCUCAGGCUCUUGGCAGCCAUGGAGCUGCACCUUCAGGACAUGCUAAAUGGUACACCAUUGUACAAGGUCAGACAAUUCCAUCUUCUCAAGCGUCUGGAUCCCAGACCCAGUCAUCAUACCAGCCUAGCACUACAACACUGCUUCAGACAGGCCUGUCUGCUUCUACAUCUCAGGCUCAGUCCUCUGGUGCCUCAACAUUCUAUCAAGGGAU